rnacentral:lncRNA from 1 species
GGCCCAGGCGACUCUUUUGAAUGGAAUCGGGCUGAUUCAUCGCCGGUUCGCGGAGCCAGAACCCGGCUGAGCCCGAGCUGCUGCUGCCGCCGCCGUCACGGCCGCCGCCGCCGCUGUCACCGCCACCGCCGCGUCACAAGGGUCCAGACUGCGGCCUCUUCGCCAGCCCGCCAAAGGAGAGAGAGGAAAAAAAAAGACUUGGGAAAAAUUAUACCUGCCAGUAUUAGCAAUCUCUUAAGAAGAAAUUGGUCAAAUUCAACAAAUUGAAGUUAACACUACAAGAGUUAUAGUUACUGACCAGAAAAAAUGGACAGACUUCUUAGACUUGGAGGAGGUAUGCCUGGACUGGGCCAGAAGCUUCCCUUAUUGCUGAUUGCUGUAUUCCAGCGCUAAAUAACUUGUGGAGAAUAUUUUCUAUUAAUCUUCAUUUUCUCCUAGGAAUAAGAAUUAUUUGUUUGCUUUGAUUUAAACUUUUGGGAUAUAUGAAAUUACCAAACUUACCUUUUGGUUAAAAAAAAGACUCAAAAUAUCUUAUUUCUGGGUUUACAAUGUAGACUUUAAAAGUGACACAUGAGAAAGUAAACAUGGCACAUUCUUGGCAAGAUCCAGAAAACUAACCCAUAGGAUGUUUGUAUGUACAAUCUUAACACUGAUAAAUUCCUUCUAGUACUUGUGGUAUAUGGGAUGAAUUAGGAAGUAAUACCUCUUUGUUCUUCAAAUUGGUGUAUAUGGUUUCUUUUUUUUUUUUUUUUAAUGAUUUUUUUCCAUUAUAGUUGGUUUACAGUGUCAAAUUUGAUGUAUAUGGUUUCUUUUACAUUCUUAUUAAAAUUAAAUGAGUUUUCAGUUAUUUUAAUACCAUUUUUCUAGUUCCAUACUGUUGGGCAAAUGGCCUCCAGAUAGAUUUCUAUCGCAGGGUAUUCUGUCUGCUUUCAGCUAAAGAAGAAAUUUCUACCUCUUUUGAGUUCCAUACUCAAUUAUCUUUCCAGUCUACCAUUCACAAAAGAGUGUGACUAUGUGAGACUUUUAUGUAGUAUAUUGUUUUAUGUACAACUUUUGGGAAUAUUUUUGUUUGUUUGUUUUUGCUUUUUAGGACCGCCCCCAUGGCAGAUGGAAGUUCCCAGGCUAGGGGUCCAAUUGGAGCUGUAGAUGCUGGCCUACACCACAGCCACAGCAAUGCAGGAUCCAAGCUGUGUCUGUGACCUAUACCACAGCUGAAGGCAGCACUGGAUCCUUAACCCAUUGAGUAAAGCCAGGAAUCGAACCCACAUCCUCGUGGAUACUAGUCAGAUUCAUUUCCACUGAGUCACAAUGGGAACUCCUAGGAAUAUUUUUAUAACCCUUUUAAUUGCCAGCUUUGCCCUAUUUCCAUAUCACUAUCAAUGACUUUGUCUUCCUUUAUUCAUAGUCGUCUAAUAUUUUGUGUAAGAAAUAGUUUUGUUUGAGAUUUCAUGACAUUUUCAGUGAUUUGUAGGCGCUUUUAUAAGAAUUCUUUGAUUAGGUCUACCAUGGCUCAUGACUAAUAAACCUUUCCUUUUAGAAAGUUGGAAUCAUAUGACUCUAUAUUGCAUCCUUGCAUAGACUUCAGUUAUUUUUACUUUUGUUAGUUUUGAAUAUUUCUCAUGUUCCAUUACUGUAAGCAUGUUUCUUCAUGAUUCUACAUUUUUAUAAGAUCUAUGUAAUACAUUCUCUUAAGAGGCCUAAGCCUCUCUAAACUUGACCCUUUUAAGGCUGCUUCCAUAUUUUUGUAAACAUUCUAGAUCACUCCCAGAAUUUCCCUCAUUUAUUAUGAAAUUAGCAAUAGCAAUGUUUAAGCAUAUAAAAGUGUCAAAAGUAAUGGAGGUGAUAUGUAGAUACUGCAUAUUUAACCUGAAUAUUAUAGGUAAAGAUGUUCCCUUAGUGGAAUUCUUAAGGGAAGUUGUGUCGAAUUUAAAUACCAAAAUAACCUCCUUAAGUAUUAGAUGCAAUAAAUUACAUAUGCAUGCUUGGAAAUCAUUGGACGUAAAGUAAUGGUUUGAUUGACUGCACACUGAGUUAUAUCAUAUCUCAAUGACCACUGCAAACCUUUGCAUUUAAUGGAAAACUAAGUGUUGGUUCAAUAACCUGUUCUUGGAUUCUGAUAAUUUAAUCAGCUAAUGUGUCCUUAGUUUGCAUUCUUAUUUGUACUUAAAAACAUUGUGUGUUUCAUCUUUCCGAUUAGAUUACAAACUUUCAAGAGAUUAAUUUAGGGGAUUCUGUGAUACCUCCUUUAUCAUUUAGUAGGUGCUCAGUAAUUACAUUUUUUUCUUAAAAUUUCAUUUUAUUCUUGUUCUAGACUAAUUCGUCAAACAUAUACAAUGUUACUUCUAUAAUACGAAAUGUUAAAUGCACGAAUUCUUAAUAAACAGGAAGAAAAUGUGUCUUUUUUAUAAGUUAAAUGUCUUUGAAUUGAACUAAAUGUCUUUGAAUUGGUAAUAGCUACUCUUUCCACUAAAUUCAUACAGCUAGUAAAAAUAGAAAAGGGGACAUUAGUUGUUUAUCCCUCCAAAAAUCAGUGAGAAAUGUUUCUUUCUUACUGUUUAAUGGAAAAGACAGAAUUUCCUCAUAAAUAGGAGCAGAUAUCUUGCUCUUAAGUUGUUAAGUUUGCAGAUGGCCCUUUUAAAACAUGGAAAUAGUAGUACAAAGGAUUUUCCAUCCAUUCUAACACUCUUUACUUUCUUUGACUAGAAAUAACUAAUCCUACUUAUUCUCCAAUCGAUCCUGUCCUCUCUUGAAACCUUAUUCAUCCACUGACCCCUUUCUCUACCUACAAAGAUGUUUAAGUGUCCUAUAUCCAAAAAGGAAAAAAACAACACUGCAUCCUGCCAUUAAAGCUUUUCUUCCAUUUAUUUCCAGAAAUGAAAUAAUAGCUUAUACUCACAUAUUCUACUUCCAUAGCUCCAUUGACAUUUAUGAGGUUAUGUUGUGGCCUUCUACUCCUUUACUUUACUGGAAUUGCUCAACUUGCCAAGUCUGCUGGCCAACUUUUAGUUCUCAUUUUACUAAACUUGAAUAUAUCACACUGUUCACAAUGUCUUUCUUAAAUCUUUCACUUCCAUUACCUCUGUCCUGGUACUGUUCCAUAGUUCAUUAUGGUAUGCACAUCAGUAAAAUAACUUAAAAUUUUAUUUUUUUAAUAUUACAUUUUUAAAUGCUAAUACUUGAAUAGUAGUAGGCUAAAAUCAUUAAAUCUGUCCGCACUUCCCUACUUCAAUAUAACUUAUCAGUAGUGAAGCAGAAACAGAUGCUUUAUUUGAACUAUUUAAAAAACUUUGUAAACUAGCAGCUUUUACUUCAGAUUUUUAAAAUUUACUUUGCUAAAGGGCUUAUUAACUUGAAAUUACUGAAAAAUGUGAGAUGAUUGUAUUAAAAGCGUUUACUACUAUAGUUUGACUACUUAAAUAAGACAGUCCCAACUUAGGUCUUGUUGAUUAAACUAUUUCCAAAAGCAGUCAAGACUAGACAUAAGAGAUGCACAUAGCCAAAGCAUAGUCUCUAGUCUCUAAAAGUUGUAGCUUAAGUCUCUAGGUCUAUUUUGGUUUUAGAAAGAGUCAAGGUAAGCUUAAAAGUAAAUGAAACUUGGAGUUCUCUGUGGCUCAGUGGGUUAAGGAUCUGGCAUUGUCACUGCUGUGGCUCAGGUCGCUGCUGUCAUUCAGGUUUGAUCCCUGGUCCUGGAAUUUCUGCAUGCUGCAGGUGUGGCCAAAAAAAAAAAAACUUAAAUGAAGCUUAAGUAAAAUGUCAGUGGUGUUUAUUAUCUUGUCUUGUAUUUGAAUUUCUUAGGCCAAUAUUUUGCAUUUCUAUGUGUUGGCCGUUAUGCUCUAGGGAAUACCAAGGUAAAAAAGAAAAUUAUUGCUUAACUUAGGGGCCUUAACAUUCUAGUAAACACACAGCAAUUAUGUUUUAAGUGCCUGGCACAUAUUAACUGCUUUGAAUGAGUGAAUACUAGUGCUUAUUAUAAAUAAUAUGAUUUGUAAGUAUAGUGGAUGUGAGUUUUCAUUUUUUCCACAACAAAGGAAAGUGAGACUGAAUUGAGGAAACGAUGCUGGAGCUAAAUUUUGGAAUAUAGCCAAGACACAUUUGGAAAGGCCAAAGAAUAAGUGCUAUGAGAGUAAAUAACUGGGAAAGAAGCUGGUAAAGAAGUUUGGAGUAGAUUAUAAAAGGUGUUGAAUGCCAUUCUUAGUGACUUUUACUUUUUUUCCCUCAUAUGUGUUGUACUUUCAUGAAGGUCUGUCCACGUCAUCCCUUCUCCCCGCCAUAGAUCUGUGAGAUAAUUCAGUCAGUGUUUUUGUGAAGUAAUUUUAGUGGUAGUUUGGAGAUUAGGUAGGAGGAAGGUGUUUGAAGGCAAAGUUAUCAAUUAUGUGAAAUAUUUCUGAUUUUAACCUUCUGAGCAUAUAGUAGGAUUAUACUUUUCCAUCAUUUUUGAAGUUAACCUGCUCAUGAUUUUGCUUUGGUCAAUGGAAUGUGAGUUGGAAAUUAACAGGUCUUUUGUGUGGAAAUGUUAAGUAUCAGUGUGUGAUUUGCCUGCCCUGGUAAUCAAGGAAGCAUAGAAAUGGCAUCUCUCUUAACUGGGUGCCUGAAAGAGAGUGACAUAUAACCUGCAAGUCAGAAAUCCUGUGAUUUUUGUAUGAAGUUUUGUAAUUAUUUUUGGUCUCUGGUUUUUAAGAGACAUGAUAUAUGUCAAACUAAGCACAAACUAAAAACAUACUUGUUGCCCUAAGUUCUCAGUUUGUAUCUUUCUAACGCAGACCUUAAUAAUUUCCAGAUGUAGAAAUAAGGGAAAGUACCUUUGGUGAGUGAAUCAGAGAAGGCUUUAGUGGUGAGAUGUAAGAUACAUCUUGAAGGAUUAUUUCAGGUAGCUAGACUUAAAAAAUAAAUAAAUAAAAAAAACUUGAUGAAUUGGAUAUGAUCAGUUUCAUUUGUUGUAAUUCCUAAAUUCACAUAGUAUAUGGAUUUUGUUUAUGUAGUAACUAUUUUUUUGAUUUCUGUUAUGAGUCUUGGAGAAGAAUGUUCUUUCAGUUAUUUUUCAGGUUUCGGUCUUAUGUUUUAUAGAAAGGAUUAAUUUAACAUAGUAAUGGGGAAAAAUGACUGGAAUAAAUGAAGAAAUAAUACCAUUUUUAUGCAUGAUGAAUCUCAAUAUCAUAUGCCAAUUCUUUCCAAUUAAUCAUAAAUUCAGUGCAGUUCCAAUAAAAAUACCAACCAGAAUUUUCACAGAAUUAGAAAACUGAUUCUAAAAUUCAUAUUGGAGAAAAAAAUCCAAGAAUAGCAAAGAAAUUCUUAGAAAGGAAAAAGAAACUUUCUUUGCUCUACCAAAUAUCAAAAUACAUUUUAAUACUGUAUGACUCAAUGUCACAUUGGUAUCGAGAGAGUCAGAUAGAUCAGUAUAAUCAAAUAGAAUUCCUAGACAUAGGCUCAUGCAUAUUUUUGGAACUGAUUUAUAAUAGAGAUGAAAUUAAAAAUUAAUGGGAAAGGAGAGGCCUGUUCAUUAAAUGAUUCUGAAGCAAAUGGCUUUCUAUAUGGGGGAAACCAAUAUUAGAUUGCUACCUUAUCCUGUAAACAACAAUGUAUACCAGAUGGAUUGAAGACCUAACUGUGAAAAUUAAACUUUAUAAUUUUGGAAGACACACCUAUCAGGAUGGCUGUUAUACCAAAAAAAAAAAAAACAUAGGCAAUAACAGCUAAUGGUGAGGAUGUAGAGAAACCUGGAUACGUAUCUGAUAGGGAUGUAAAAUGUGUGACCUCUGUAGAAAAUGAUAUAGUGGCCCCUUAAAAAUUACCAUGUGAUCCAGCAGUUCCAUAUCUGGGUAUAUAUACCAAAGGAUUGAAAGUAGGAACUCAAGUAGAUAUUUAUGCAUCAUUUUCAUGGCAGCAUUAUUUGAGAUAGUCAAAAGGUAGGAGCAACUUAUAUUUAUUGGUGGAUGAAUGGAUAAACAAAAUGUGGUGUGUUAAUACUAUGGAAUAUUAUUUAGCCUUAGGAAAUUCUGACGCAUGCUACAAUAUGGAUAAAUCUUUUUUUUUUUUUUUACUCAAUGAAUUUAUUACAUUUAUAGUUGUACAAUGAUCAUCACAAUCUAAUUUUAUAGGAUUUCCAUCCCACACCCCCAGCUCAUCCCCCCCAUCCCCCAAACUGUCUCCUUUGGAAACCAUAAGUUUUUCAAAGUCUGUGAGUCAGUAUCUGUUCUGCAAAGAAGUUCAUUGUGGCCUUUUUUCAGAUUCUGCAUGUCAGUGAUAGCAUUUGAUGUUUGUGUCUAAUGUCUGACUGAUUUCACUUAGCAUGAUAAUUUCUAGGUCCAACAACAUGGAUAAAUCUUGAAGACAUUAUGCUAAGUGAAAUGAGGAAUCAUAAAAUUCCACUUAAAUGAAUUACUAAAGUAGUUCAUAGAGUAAGAUUCAUAGAGACAAAAAGUAGAAUGGUGGUUGCCAAGAAUUGGGUGUUGUAAUGGAAUGGGGAGUUAGUGUUUAAUGGUAUAAGUUUCAGUUUGGGAAGAUGAAAGUUCUGAAGAUACAUAGUGGUGAUGAUUGUAUGACAGUGUGAAUGUACUUAAUGCUAUAGAACUGUGCUUUUUUGUUUUUGUUUUUGUUUUUGAGGAUCUCACCUGAGGCAUGUGGAAGUUCCCAGGCCAGGGGUUGAAUUGGAGCUACAGCUGCCAGCCUACACCACAGCAAUGUGGGAUCUGAGCUGUGUCUUCGACCUACACCACAGCUCAGGGCAAUGCUGGAUCCUUAACCCACUGAGUGAGGCCAGGGAUCGAACCUGCAUUCUCAUGGAUACUAGUUGGAUUUGUUUUCACUGCAUCACAAUGGGAACUCCCAGA